CCUGCCCCUAGAAACCUUGCAAGUAUAGCUGCUAUGUCUGUACAUGUAGGUGACAGAGAGCUAAGAGGCCAUGUCUACACCCUGGGUUCUGCCCUAUGAACAUCUUAAUAAUUAGAUUACCAUU
ensembl:snoRNA LOC120102719 small nucleolar RNA SNORA17